GGAGCUCAACUCCGAAAUUGCACUGGAUACUGCUCUGCUAGAGGGCUGGAGAGGAGAUCGGAAUUCACGGUGUAGCAGUGAAAUGCGUAGAUAUCGUGAGGAAGACCAGUGGCGAAGGCGGAUCUCUGGACAGCUCCUGACGCUGAGGCGCGAAGGCUAGGGGAGCAAACGGGAUUAGAUACCCCGGUAGUCCUAGCAGUAAACGGUGCACGUUUGGUGUGCGCGGAUUCGACCCCGUGCGUGCCGGAGCUAACGCGUUAAACGUGCCGCCUGAGGAGUACGGUCGCAAGAUUAAAACUCAAAGAAAUUGACGGGGGCCCGCACAAGCGGUGGAGUAUGUGGCUUAAUUCGAUGCAACACGAAGAACCUUACCUGGCCUUGACAUGCAUCGUGUCGUCGGUGAAAGCCGGCUAGCGUAGCAAUACGCGCUUUGCACAGGUGCUGCAUGGCUGUCGUCAGCUCGUGUCGUGAGAUGGGGUUAAGUCCCGCAACGAGCGCAACCCCUGUGAACUGUUGCUAACUCGCAAGAGUGCACUCUGUUCAGACUGCCCUGUGAAACGGGGAGGAAGGUGGGGACGACGUCAAGUCAGGAUGGCCCUUACGGCCAGGGCUGCACACGUACUACAAUGCCCAGUACAGAAUGACCCGAAUCCGCGAGGUGGAGGAAAUCACUAAAACUGGGCCCAGUUCGGAUUGUAGGCUGCAACUCGCCUACAUGAAGCCGGAAUCGCUAGUAAUGGCGCAUCAGCUACGGCGCCGUGAAUACGUUCCCGGGCCUUGUACACACCGCCCGUCACAUCAUGGGAGUCGCUUGUACCCGAAGUGUCUGUGCCAACCGCAAGGAGGCAGGGCCCUAAGGUAUGAGCGGUAACUGGGAUGAAGUCGUAAUCAAGGUAGCC
rnacentral:rRNA from 1 species